GACUUCGUGGCGCAAUGGUAGCGCGUCCGACUCCAGAUCGGAAGGUUGAGGGUUCGAUUCCCUUCGGGGUCA